rnacentral:rRNA from 1 species
GGAGUAACGCGUGGGUAACCGUGCCUUCUACAGGGGGAGAACAGUUGGAAACGGGUGCUAAUACCGCAUAAGCGCACGGCAUCGCAUGAUGCAGUGUGAAAAACUCCGGUGGUAUAAGAUGGACCCGCGUUGGAUUAGCUAGUUGGUGAGGUAACGGCCCACCAAGGCGACGAUCCAUAGCCGACCUGAGAGGGUGACCGGCCACAUUGGGACUGAGACACGGCCCAA